UUAGAGGUGCACUGUGAGUUA
ensembl:piRNA 21ur-2752 ncRNA